UACGUAGGGGGCUAGCGUUGUCCGGAAUCAUUGGGCGUAAAGAGCGUGUAGGCGGUCCGGUAAGUCCGCUGUGAAAGUCGGGGGCUCAACCCUCGAAUGCCGGUGGAUACUGUCGGGCUAGAGUACGGAAGAGGCGAGUGGAAUUCCUGGUGUAGCGGUGAAAUGCGCAGAUAUCAGGAGGAACACCAAUUGCGAAGGCAGCUCGCUGGGACGUUACUGACGCUGAGGCACGAAAGCGUGGGGAGCAAACAGG
rnacentral:rRNA from 1 species